GACGAACGCUGACGGCGCGCUUAACACAUGCAAGUCGAAGGGAGUGGCGAACGGGUGAGUAACACGUGAGUAACCUGCCCUCGUCUUUGGGAUAAUCCCGGGAAACCGGGUGUAAUACUGCACGGAUUGGGAUGGGCCCGCGGCUUAGCAGCUUGUUGGUGGGGUGAUGGCUUACCAAGGCUUGGACGGGUAGCCGGCCGGAGAGGGUGGUCGGUCACACGGGGACUGAGAUACGGCCAAGAGUCCUACGGGAGGCAGCCGUGGGGGAUAUUGCAAAAUGGACGAAAGUCUGAUGCAGCGACGUCGUGUGGGGGAUGAAGGCCUUCGGGUUGUAAACUCCUUUCGCCCGCGGAAUGGUAGUGGGUAAAGAAGCGCCGGCUAACUCCGUGCCAGCAGCCGCGGUAAUAC
rnacentral:rRNA from 1 species